AUACGGAGGGUGCAAGCGUUAUUCGGAAUUACUGGGCGUAAAGCGCGCGUAGGCGGUUUGGUCAGUCGGAUGUGAAAGCCCCAGGCUCAACCUGGGAAUGGCAUUCGAUACUGCCUGACUAGAGUAUGGUAGAGGGAAGUGGAAUUUCCGGUGUAGCGGUGAAAUGCGUAGAGAUCGGAAGGAACAUCAGUGGCGAAGGCGACACCCUGGUCUAACACUGACGCUGAGGUGCGAAAGCGUGGGUAGCAAACAGGAUUAGAAACCCCAGUAGUCC
rnacentral:rRNA from 1 species